GUUAAGAAGCUAAAAAUAAAGCAACGCAAGAAAGCCUAGAGAGUUAAUACCUUUU
rnacentral:tRNA from 1 species